AACGAACGCUGGCGGCAGGCCUAAUACAUGCAAGUCGAACGGAUGUAGCAAUACAUUAGUGUCGCCCGGGUGCGGAACACGUGGGAACAUACCCUUUGGUAAGGAAUAAUGUCUGGAAACGGACACUAAUACCUUAUAAUGACUUCGGUCCAAAGAUUUAUCGCCAAAGGAUUGGCCCGCGUCUGAUUAGGUAGUUGGUGGGGUAAUGGCCUACCAAGCCUACGAUCAGUAGCUGGUCUGAGAGGAUGAUCAGCCACACUGGAACUGAGACACGGUCCAGACUCCUACGGGAGGCAGCAGUAAGGAAUAUUGGACAAGGGGCGCAAGCCUGAUCCAGCCAUGCCGCGUGAGUGAAGAAGGCCUGAGGGUUGUAAAGCUCUUUCAAUAGUGAAGAUAAUGACGGUAGCUAUAGAAGAAGCCCCGGCUAAAUUCGUGCCAGCAGCCGCAGUAA
rnacentral:rRNA from 1 species